rnacentral:rRNA from 1 species
CCUACGGGUGGCAGCAGUGGGGAAUAUUGCACAAUGGGCGCAAGCCUGAUGCAGCGACGCCGCGUGGGGGAUGACGGCCUUCGGGUUGUAAACUCCUUUCGUCAGGGACGAAGCGAAAGUGACGGUACCUGGAUAAGAAGCACCGGCUAACUACGUGCCAGCAGCCGCGGUAAUACGUAGGGUGCGAGCGUUGUCCGGAAUUACUGGGCGUAAAGAGCUCGUAGGUGGUUUGUCGCGUCGUUUGUGGAAUACCGCAGCUUAACUGCGGGGUUGCAGGCGAUACGGGCAUAACUUGAGUGCUGUAGGGGAGACUGGAAUUCCUGGUGUAGCGGUGGAAUGCGCAGAUAUCAGGAGGAACACCGAUGGCGAAGGCAUGUCUCUGGGCAGUAACUGACGCUGAGGAGCGAAAGCAUGGGUAGCGAACAGGAUUAGAUACCCGUGUAGUC